rnacentral:lncRNA from 1 species
UUUUUUGUUAUUAAUUCUCUUCUUUGUGGUGAUUUUAAAACGAUUUUACAGUAGUAUUUUUUUUUUACUAUUUAAAUCUAAUUUUCUAAUCAAAUGAGGUGGGAAUAAUUAUCUUAUUUUGAUUUGGGGGGUUACUGAUGAACUAAAAAAAUGACAUCACUGCCUGAGACUUUGAACUAAAGAUGAUCUGUUAGUUUUCAAUAAGGAUUGUUUACUAAAACGCUUACUUCUAGUAGUAGUUUUUAUUUUUUUUUUACUAAUUUUAAAUACUUAAUUUUUACUAAUACAAAUGGAGGGUGGGAAAUUAAUUAUCUUUUAUUUUUUAGGUUUUGGGGGUUACUGAUGAACUAAAAAAAAUGACAUCACUGCCUGAGACUUUGAACUAAAGAUGAUCUGUUAGUUUUCAAUAAGGAUGUUUACUAAAACGCUUCUCUGUAUGUACAGUACGUGACGUAUGUGUGAUGCUGGCUCAGGGAAAAUGUCAUCUUGCAGCAUCGUGAGGGUCCAGUGUCUCAGCCAUUUGCUUUGAUCAGUGCGAGGCGAAGGUCUUGGACUGUAAACUGCAUGAGCACCCGUCCAAAUAAGACACAAAGGCCUCAAAACACAACCAUAGCGACAGACAGAGAUCCAGCACAGAGCUUUUAAAGGAUCGGAAUCUUUGAGAGGGCAGAAGAAAGAAGCGUUCGGUGAUAAGGUGUACCUGUAUUUGUGAGGCAAUAAAGGAGAGGUCACAAACAACAGGAAGUGGAGCAGGGGGAGUGAAAGGUAAACAGGAACUGUUGUCAUAUGUGGAACUGAGACAGUGAUGAAUACAAGAAAACAAACACAUCUUUAUGUAGGUGUUCACAGGGCUCACGGUCUUCAAGCCACCAGCAUCUGAUAUCAUGCACAAGUUCUUGCUGAAGGACCUAAGUUCUCUUAGCCGGAGGCUUGAGCACCUGCACGCAGUGACCGCUGGUGGCUCUAGGACAAGAGGUUUGAUUGACAGCAGCCCCGGCUGGAGUGUUAUUCAUCAAGAGGAUGUAACACACACUGAUAGACGUCUUUAUACAGCUGUCAUUCCAAAGCUGUCUGUUCUUCAUCUCAGAGUAAAAAAAAGGUAAGUAUUAGUGACUUUAUUUCUGGCUUUAUGUUUUGUGACUAUGCCUUUGUAUCUCACAACUGACUAUUUUUCUUUUAAUACUGACUUUAGUAUGUUAUUUUAGUAUAGAUUAUAUUCUUAAUAAUAUUAGUUAUUAUUAAUAAUAUUAAUAUAUUAAUAAUUCUAUAAUUAAUAUUACUAGAAAAACCAUAUGAAUUUUACAUGUGACAUGUGACGUACAUAAUAGUAAUCAAAGUACUUAAACUUAAUUAUUUCAGUCAGUCGCCAAAGCAACAUUUCUCAUUUUCAUUAAAAUGUUUAAUUUUAAUUAAAAAAAAACACAUUAAU